GUCACACCUAGUGUUCUUGGAAGAUUUCUCCCACUGAAAAAAUUGCAUCGUUCCCCACAUGGACUAACUGUGCCAGAAUAAGGUCAAUUUCCCAAGGGGAGGAAAGCAAAGGGAAAGGCAGUAAGUAUGUGUCCAGCCGGUCUCCUGGAGAGCACAUGACAGAAACCCACCUGAAACGAGAUUAGGAGAGAGGCGAAGAGGACUAACCUGCUCGUGUAACCCAAACUGCAAGGAGAACAGACGCAGAGUGGCUGGAACAAACAGAGCUCUCCAGCUCUUUUUUCUGCUUCUCUCCAGAAGUCAGUUCCAUUCUGGUCCACAGCACCCUAGUUCCUUCCACAAGGCUGCUGGAACAACGGCUGCUACUGGACCUUGGCCCCAAAUGUUUCCAGCUUCAGGAAUAGGAAACAUCCAUGUGAUGCAAUUUUUAGGAGUCUGGUUCUCCCUGUGCAAGUCCAAUGCUUUUGGUUUUUAUGAUUUGGGCUCACUAAUUCCUACCUGUGAGAAGCUCCUCCUGGGGUUCACCAAGGGUCCAUGAAGGACUGAGUGAUGUGGAUUCUUGAGACAAAAAAUUUUGGUUAUUUGUCUUGGCUAUAUUUUUUAGUUGUUCCCUAAACUCAGGGUUGUUUUACCUUAGUUUAUCCCAUUCAUUUAUUCACCCAUCCAUUCAUUCUUCCAAAAAAUUUCAAGUGCCUCUCAUAUGUGAGGCAUUGAGCUAGGGCUAUCAUGGAGACUGAACCAAUGAGGACCCUGCCUUCAUGGAGGUCACGUUGUGAGAAGGAAAGGAGACCUUA
rnacentral:lncRNA from 1 species